GAUGAACGCUGGCGGCGUGCCUAAUACAUGCAAGUCGAGCGAACAGACGAGGAGCUUGCUCCUCUGACGUUAGCGGCGGACGGGUGAGUAACACGUGGAUAACCUACCUAUAAGACUGGGAUAACUUCGGGAAACCGGAGCUAAUACCGGAUAAUAUAUUGAACCGCAUGGUUCAAUAGUGAAAGACGGUUUUGCUGUCACUUAUAGAUGGAUCCGCGCCGCAUUAGCUAGUUGGUAAGGUAACGGCUUACCAAGGCGACGAUGCGUAGCCGACCUGAGAGGGUGAUCGGACACACUGGAACUGAGACACGGUCCAGACUCCUACGGGAGGCAGCAGUAGGGAAUCUUCCGCAAUGGGCGAAAGCUUGACGGAGCAACGCCGCGUGAGUGAUGAAGGUCUUCGGAUCGUAAAACUCUGUUAUUAGGGAAGAACAAAUGUGUAAGUAACUAUGCACGUCUUGACGGUACCUAAUCAGAAAGCCACGGCUAACUACGUG
rnacentral:rRNA from 1 species